GCUGGGCAUAGUGGUGCGUGCCUGUAGUCCCAGCUACUUGGGAGGCUGAGGCAGGAGAAUUGCUUGAACCCAGGAGGCAGAGGCUGCAGUGAGCUGAGAUCAUGCCACUGCACUGCAGCCUGGGUGACAGAGUGAGACUCUGUCUCAA
rnacentral:SRP_RNA from 2 species